GACGAACGCUGGCGGCAUGCCUAACACAUGCAAGCCGAGCGGUAUUGUUUCUUCGGAAAUGAGAGAGCGGCGUACGGGUGCGUAACACGUGUGCAACCUGCCUUUAUCUGGGGGAUAGCCUUUCGAAAGGAAGUUUAAUACUCCAUAAUAUAUUGAACGGCAUCGUUUAAUAUUGAAAGCUCCGGCGGAUAGAGAUGGGCACGCGCAAGAUUAGCUAGUUGGUGAGGUAACGGCUCACCAAGGCGAUGAUCUUUAGGGGGCCUGAGAGGGUGAUCCCCCACACUGGUACUGAGACACGGACCAGACUCCUACGGGAGGCAGCAGUGAGGAAUAUUGGUCAAUGGGUGCAAGCCUGAACCAGCCAUCCCGCGUGAAGGACGACUGCCCUAUGGGUUGUAAACUUCUUUUGUAUAGGGAUAAACCUACCCUCGUGAGGGUAGCUGAAGGUACUAUACGAAUAAGCACCGGCUAACUCCGUGCCAGCCGCCGCCGUAA
rnacentral:rRNA from 1 species